GACGAACGCUGGCGGCGUGCCUAAUACAUGCAAGUAGAACGCAGUUGCGAACGGGUGAGUAACGCGUAGGUAACUGCCUCAUAGCGGGGGAUAACUAUUGGCAACGAUAGCUAAUACCGCAUACUGUGAGAUGGACCUGCGUUGUCUUAGCUAGUUGGUUAGGUAAAGGCGAACCAAGGCGACGCUACAUAGCCGACCGGAGAGGGGGAGCGGCAAAACUGGGACAGAGAAAAGGCAAAGACUCCGACGGGAGGCAGAAGUAGGGAAUCGUCGGCAAGGGAAGGAAGUCUGACCGAGUAACGCCGCGUGAGUGAAGAAGGUGUGCGGAUCGUAAAGCGCUGUUGUUAGAGAAGCGGGAACUAACCAGAAAGGGACGGCUAACUACGUGCCAGCAGCCGCGGUAAUAC
rnacentral:rRNA from 1 species